rnacentral:rRNA from 1 species
UCCGUAAGGGAACCUGCGGAAGGAUCAUUCACACGCAUCCAACUUGAUUCAUUGUGCACCAUCUUAUGUGAUUUGCUCCUUCUGGUGGAGACAACUUGUCUACACCUUUGGGUUCAUCUCGCGGGUAGUCUGAACGAUAUUGGACCGUCUUCCUUUAUCGUCUGGCUGCCGUUGUUUGUUUGCUUGAUGUUUUGUAUUGUGAUCAAUUCUCCACUUGGGGUGGGUGACCACCUGCAUGUUGCAUCUACAACUUUCAGCGACGGAUGUCUCGGCUCGAACAACGAUGAAGGGCGCAGCGAAGUGUGAUAAGCAUUGUGAAUUGCAGAAUUCCGUGAACCAAUAGGGAUUUGAACGUAUACUGCGCUUUCGGGAUAUCCCUGAAAGCAUGCCUGCUUCAGUGUCAACAUGUUUUCAUGCCACUGUCAACCUGUCCUCGACAACUGACAGUAGUGCGUGUUUGUGCAUUAAGGUGCUCUGUGCCCUUGAUGCAUGCAGUACAUGGGUUCAGUGCUUCGUCAGCAACUUGAUAAGCUCUUUGAGUGUAAGCUGUUGUCUGCGCGUGGUGCUGAUAGCCUGGCCUCCAACCUGUCUGUGUGUGCUCUUUUCAUGACAUGAAGUUAGGUGAGCAAACCCGCUGAAUU